rnacentral:pre_miRNA from 1 species
CGCAUAAACAUUAGACAAUAUUGUUUACUUACAACAUAUUGUCUAUUGAUUGUGCUUC